GCUCAUCACGGAGGCCCCGCAAGACCUGGCCUACACUGCCUAACACCACGGACCCCAGCCUCCAACCCGAUGUGGUACCCACAGAGGCCCCUUGUGCCUGCCGGCCUGUGGCGUGUGCAGUCCUUGACGAUGUCAGUGAGUGCUUGCGGAAGGCAAAAUCACCCACUAUCCCGCCAGGCCCUUCAACACUCCAGGUGAAUUCACCGUAAAUAGAGACGGCCAUCCUCAUCAAUGCCUGGCAGAUGCCCCGCUUUCUACAAGCAGCCCCGGCACCUUACCCAACCUCUGUCUCAGGGAAAACGAGCAUGAUUUCCGGCUGCCCUUCUGCUUCCUUGGAAGCGAGGGACACUUAAACAUCCUAUUUCCCCACAGCAACAUGGCGGAGGCUUCAAGGGGACAACCCGACCUCAGAAGUCAAAAGGCAACCCCAAAAAGAUACCCAAGGAACGAACGGCGGAGGGCAGUCCUGUCCACCACCUGCUUGUUAAACCCGUGAAGGAAAAGUCAACGCUGCCUUUUGUAACUGCUGAUAGAAGAAACCCAAGUCAGAAGUAUCCUUGCGACAUGCCCACACCAGCCAGCCUCACUGAUGAAAGCAACCAACCCAAACAGGACCCGUAAACCACACAGGAGAUCCAUCCCUUACACGAAUUCGUCUCAGUGAUCGAUCUGAUCAUGUGAUUUUUUGAGACAGCUCUUCAGGGAGAUUUUAACUUCGGUUCGAACUGACCAAUAUAUUCCACGACUUGUAUCUACCAGGAACUUGGGGGCCAGAUUCUGAGCUACCAAGAGGAUUCUUAUCACUGGGAGCAAAAUAACUGAAAAUGUAAUCAAUGGUACCAAAAAGGGGUCUCCUUCUCUAAAAUACACACCUAUCCUGACCACCUGCAGCACGUAUCACCAAUAAAUUGCCCAAUAAAUUGGCAUUCUGGAUGAUAAA